rnacentral:lncRNA from 1 species
UGGUGCCAUGUGGUGAGGAGCUGGUAUAGCUAUGAAGUCCAAGGGUCCACUGCAGUCUGUGUAGGUCUUUGGGCACAAGAACACAGCCACAGCUGUGGCCUACUGCUAACAAGGAAAUGGGCUCAUCAAGGUGAAUGGAAGACUCCUGGAGAUAAUCCAGCUGUGCACACUGCUAUACAAAUUACUGGAGCUUGUUUCUGGUCAAGGGACAAUUGGCUGGUGUGGAUAUCUGGGUAGGUGUGAAGGGUGGUGGUUAUAUAGCCAAAUUUAUGCUCACUGGCAGUCCAUCUCAAAAGAUCUGGUGACUUAUUACCAAAAAUAUGUGGAUGAAAAUUCUAAGAAGGAGAUCAAAGCUAUUCUCAUUCAGUAUUAUCAGAUCCUUCUUGUAGUGCACCCUGGUCACUGCGAAUCCAAAAGCUUUGGAGGUCUUGGUGUCCUUACCCGAUACCAGAAAUCC